rnacentral:rRNA from 1 species
CGCGGCCUAUCAGCUUGUUGGUGAGGUAAUGGCUCACCAAGGCGACGACGGGUAGCCGGCCUGAGAGGGCGACCGGCCACACUGGGACUGAGACACGGCCCAGACUCCUACGGGAGGCAGCAGUGGGGAAUAUUGGGCAAUGGAGGAAACUCUGACCCAGCGACGCCGCGUGAGGGAUGAAGGCCUUCGGGUUGUAAACCUCUUUCAGCAGGGAAUAAGCGAAAGUGAAGGUACCUGCAGAAGAAGCACCGGCUAACUAUGUGCCAGCAGCCGCGGUAAUACAUAGGGUGCAAGCGUUGUCCGGAAUUAUUGGGCGUAAAGAGCUCGUAGGUGGUCGAUCACGUCGGAUGUGAAAAUCUGAGGCUUAACCUCAGACCUGCAUUCGAUACGGGUUGACUAGAGUGUGGUAGGGGAGACUGGAAUUCCUGGUGUAGCGGUGGAAUGCGCAGAUAUCAGGAGGAACACCGGUGGCGAAGGCGGAUCUCUGGGCCAUUACUGACGCUGAGGAGCGAAAGCGUGGGGAGCGAACAGGAUUAGAUACCCUGGUAGUCCACGCCGUAAACGUUGGGAACUAGGUGUUGGCGACAUUCCACGUCGUCGGUGCCGCAGCUAACGCAUUAAGCUCCCCGCCUGGGGAGUACGG